AGAAAUAACAAAUCAUUAUCAGACUUCCGUAGUAAGAAGAACCAUGUCAAAAAUUCACAAUUUAAUAAAUGCGGGAAUAUUAGCCCAAACCUUUGACUUUGUUAAUUUUAAAAAUUUAUCAGAAGAAGAAUUAGAAAACGAAUUCCAGAAUUCAUGGAAAAAGUUUUCUUGUGGGUUUUUCGAUUUUCGAAUCGAAGAAGGAAAAAUUGGUCUUCUGUGCACGUCAUGCUGCACCCGCAGUCCUGAACAUCCGCGAGGUGAAGUUGACCUCCACGUAACCUUUCUGAAGGACAAUACUUCCUGCAUCGUUUGCAAAGAUAGUCUUAUCCUCAUUGAAAAACCGACGGAAGGUUGCUCCGAAUGUGAAGCCGUAAAAAUUGAAUUGAAAACAAUUAUUAAAACCGCAUACCACUUCCAAAUUAUUUAGUUUUUUUUUUUUUUUAAACUGUUCAAAUAUU